GUCCCUGUAGCGCAAUGGAUAGCGCAUUGAACUUCUAAUCGAAGGUCGUGGAUUCGAAUCCCAUCUGGGAUU